UACGUAGGGUGCAAGCGUUAAUCGGAAUUACUGGGCGUAAAGCGUGCGCAGGCGGCUUUGCAAGACAGAUGUGAAAUCCCCGGGCUUAACCCUGGGAACUGCAUUUGUGACUGCAUGGCUGGAGUGUGGCAGAGGGGGAUGGAAUUCCGCGUGUAGCAGUGAAAUGCGUAGAUAUGCGGAGGAACACCGAUGGCGAAGGCAAUCCCCUGGGCCUGCACUGACGCUCAUGCACGAAAGCGUGGGGAGCAAACAGG
rnacentral:rRNA from 1 species